rnacentral:lncRNA from 1 species
AUUAUUAUUAUUAUUAUUUGUAUUAUUAUUAGUAUUAUUAUUAUUAAUAAUAGUAUUAGUAUUGAAGUGAUGACCCCUCAAGUGGCUUAAUUGGUAGCUGCUGUCACAAGCUAACAGGGAGAGCUGAAGAAGAAAAGGAGGCACUUGCUGCCAUUGAGUUUGCAAUAGAGGUGAAUACCCUCACUGUAGCUACAAUCUGUACCUUCUUUACUUAGAUUGAUUUUAUUGAGAAUAUGAUUAAAUUGUACAAUAUAUACCAAUAACUUUACAUUUCUGAUAGUGUUGCUUUAAAUUUCCAAAGGAGGUUAAUUCUCGCAUUGGACUGGAUUUUAAAUAGCUUACUGGAUUGUCAUUAACUAGCUGUAAGGAAUAGAAUGGGUCAAGCAGGUGAGGGUUAGUGAGUUUUCCUCGGGGAGGGAAACGAACUCACUCUCACUAAGCAAGUGAGUGAAGUGGUCCUCGAGGGAGGGACACGAAGGAGCGAUCACUCUUAGCCGCCCCUCGGGAAGCCCCAAAGCGUACCGAGAGAGGGCGCCAAAGAGUUACUAUCCGUCCUGACCUGGCAAGGUCAGGACUAAGCAAGUGAUGUAUUAGUUGGAAAAAGGAUUAUUUUGAAAGUGUUCUAAGUUUUGUGAACGGUAACAAAAUCAAGGGUAACGAAAUCAAGAUAUCAAGAGUAACUGCAUUGAAUGUGAUCUUGGUUUGUGUCCAUUUCUAUUCACUAUAGUUGUAGUUUGGCAUCCUUUCCCAGUUUUUAUAUUUUUUUUGGCAAAUAUUUGUAAAAUGCAUAUAUGACCUUGUUUAAAUGUCUGAUACUGAGUUUGAUUGUUAGGUGUUGUUCUUCUUGUGUUGAUUUAUUUUCGUUUUUUAAUUAGACUUGAGCCAACGGUAGAGCAUGUCAUGUAAAGGGUAGUGGCUUGGUAAUUGAUUCUGUGCUGUUAGUUUAUUGCUUUGGACCUUAAGUUCGCAAAAGACUAUGAUGCUGAAUUCAAAAAGUUUUAUGCUUUGGUAUAUGAAGAAAUUAGUUACAGUUUCCCCUUCUCAUUGAUUAGUCAACUCAGUUUCAUGAAAUUGUAGCAACAUAAUUUUAGAUGAACUUUUGUACAGNGUUCUUGUCAUUCAAGGCAUGUAUUUCAAAAAGCUUAAUGCUAAGUGGGAAGCUUAAUGCUGAAUCACAUUUUACUCGUGAGUUGAUUUAAGGUUUCUACACACUUGCAGAAGCAGCUGGCNAGAGAAUAAAAGCUGAUCUGUCUGGAGUCAUUAGUUUGAGCAGCAAAAGUAUCACAGUGUGGAGCUUGGAAUAGGAGAUUUGGUCCAAAGAAUUGGCAGUUAGAAGCAGUUGUUUGAUUAGGGGAGUGCUUAGCCUAUUCACUUUUGUUUUGUCUUAGCUUGUAAUUGAUAGUAUUGUUGGAUGUCCUGCUGAAUAAGUUUUGAUUUAACUGUGCAGUAUCAAUUUGGGCAAUCAUUUGACAGCAAUUAGGUUCUUUUCACUACACCAUUUGCAUCAAGGCGAGAGAAAGAAAUGGUGAAUGCGNNNNN